AUUGAACGCUGGCGGCAGGCCUAACACAUGCAAGUCGAGCGGGGUUUUCGGACCUAGCGGCGGACGGGUGAGUAAUGCGUAGGAAGCUGCCCGAUAGAGGGGGAUACCAGUUGGAAACGACUGUUAAUACCGCAUAAUGUCUACGGACCAAAGUGUGGGACCUUCGGGCCGCAUGCUAUCGGAUGCGCCUACGUGGGAUUAGCUAGUUGGUGAGGUAAUGGCUCACCAAGGCGACGAUCUCUAGCUGGUUUGAGAGGAUGAUCAGCCACACUGGAACUGAGACACGGUCCAGACUCCUACGGGAGGCAGCAGUGGGGAAUAUUGGGCAAUGGGCGCAAGCCUGAUCCAGCCAUGCCGCGUGUGUGAAGAAGGCCUUCGGGUUGUAAAGCACUUUCAGCGAGGAGGAAGGGUGGUGUGUUAAUAGCACAUCAUUUUGACGUUACUCGCAGAAGAAGCACCGGCUAACUCUGUGCCAGCCGCCGCGGUAAUAC
rnacentral:rRNA from 1 species